GCCCGGGUGGUGGAAUUGGUAGACACAGCGGACUUAAAAUCCGCCGGGGGGAAACUCCUGUACCGGUUCGAGUCCGGUCCUGGGCACCA
rnacentral:tRNA from 1 species